rnacentral:lncRNA from 1 species
GUGUUUAGAUGUAUGUGUUGCCUCAUGAAUUCAACACUUUUUUGUCUCUAUUCCAAGGUCCAGAGGUCAGACGUUUAACUACUGGCUGGAAUGGUGGAAAGGGGGAAUGUAAGGAGAAAAGCCGGCCAUCGCAUGACACAACUAUAAACCGGAAAUUAGGCCAUUCAAUACUGAUUAAGCUCCAAGAAUUCUGCUAAAAGCUCCAGUGAAUGGAAGACUUCUAUUCCUGUGAGAAAGAAAUGUGUAGCUGG